AUUCCUUCCAUGAACCUGUUGAAAUGAACCAAGGCUGUAUUCAGUGACCACUGGGCAAUACACCUGUAUGAACGUUCACAGUAACAACAGCGUGUUUAAAGCAGAACGAAAUUUACCCAAAUUUUUGGAAAGUGUACAAUGUCUUCACACUGACAGGCUUUCACAUUCCACUUCUAGGUAAUUUCAGAUUCGCUUUCUGUGUUCUACUGGGCUAUCUCCCAAAGCUGUAAUCUUACAGACAAAGGAUUCCCCCGUCACAAGGGACAGACAUACUGCAUAUCUAGACCUUACAUUGCAGACUGUUAACAAUUAGCAGCAAAACGAGUGAUUGGGCAUGGAAGUAAUUGUUUUACUUCUGUCACCAGCAGUUCUAACUUAGCUUUUUUCCCUACAAUGAUUACAAGGACAACAGAGAAAAAAUAUAAUUUUAUAUCUUCUUGGAGGUUUAACCACUUAGGCACCUUAGUUGGAACACCUCACUUGUAUUCAUUCAUUCCAUUGUUUUCUUCAUUUACUUUCCAAAUAUUCAACAGAUUCCUCAAGCAACUCAAUUACUUGGAAUGUAUUUCAUUUCUUCUGAUCAAAAAUCCCAGUCAAGCAGGCUGGGAUGGACUUCUAGUCGUGUAAAACAAAUGUUCUAAGUAGUUAGCUUAAAUAUUUUUCUUCUUAUCUAGUAUUUUAGUUACAGUUCUCAAAUAAAAGCACAGCGUGAAAUGGUUCAGUCCAGGAUUUUUUACUUCUUUUUUUUGGAAAAAAAAAAAAAUCACCAAAAAAAAACCAACCAAAAGAGCAAAGCAGAAACAAAGGAGCAUAAGAAUGCAAAGUGGUGAGGUUUCUAGUGAAAGCUCUAUAAUGAGAGAUACAACAAAAUAUUCACUGGAGGCUAAGCCACAAAAUUCAGGCUAAUGCUAUAAUCUGAUAAAGCUUCUUAAGUAAUUUAAUUGUAGAUGCGUCAUUAAUAAAGUACACAUCUUUAAAUUAGAUAUCAUUUGACAGCAAUGACUACUUAAAAAGUAUUCAUCAGUUUCUCGGAAUUCGUUCUUCAGCUUAUAUUUUUCUGUAACUUUGAUUAAGCAACGUUUUCUGUUAUCCAAAAUUAAACCGCACAUCAAACAAUAUGUAAAUUAACCCUGAGCCUUUCUCGCAGACAUGAAAGUUAUUCUGAGAUAUUUUCACUGGCAGGGGUAAACCCAAUUCCCAUCGCAACUGACUCUGUAGGAAUUCAGUUACACUGACAGCAAAUUUAAAAUUAAUACAAUUUUGUGUUUGUAAAGAAGUAAUUAUUUCAAAUUAUCGCUCAUUAUCCUCAUUUUUUCCAUUAAUAAAAUCUAGCUCUUUAACAGUCUGCAUUUCCUCAGUGGCAAUCAUUAGGAAAAGCUUUUCUGUAGGUUUUCCCAAAUGUUUUUCCAGCAACAACUUCUCCUGUGAGUCCAAGCAAAGACACGGCAUUUUUCAACAAACAUUCUGUUAAGCUGUCCCAGCUCAACAGAAACAAGGCUCUGGAAGGCAAACUCGACACCAGCCCUUUCUCUGCUGACUCCUCGACUUUUUCAACGUGAGCUACAUCUGUGCACAUCUGUUUCUUCCUUUCGAUGCUGCUGAACAAGAGGCAACAGGGAGGAGCCCUUCUGUGUGUUGGUAAAAGGCCACGCGAAAUAAAUCACUUAGUUGCAGCGUAUCAGAAACUCUUCUGAACGAAAUCUGAUCAUGACUUUGUCUGAAGAUACUAGUGAGACACUGGACGUGUGGCACGUGAACUAGGGGCGGGCAGUUAAGGAGGAGGAGGUUCCCACUUCUCCUCACUUCUGUUUGUGUGUCUGGUACUGCUCAUAAGGAGCGAUCACAGCGAAUGAAGGAACGACUGCACUGCUGGCUCCGACCCCAAGGGGCUGUACUUGCAUUCACAUUCAGCCCUGCCAGCACUGAAUGACCGACUGCAGGACUGGAGAUUAACAGCAGGUUCUCAGAAGAGACCGGUCCACAGAAGAAUACCUCCUGCUCAGCGUUCCCCUGCACGGUCCCUGCUGCCUGCCUGGCGCUGCCCAUGCUCUGCAGCCCGGCCCCACCGGUGCUGUGCUGCUGGGCGCUGCAUCUGGCACGGCUGCCGCAGCUGCCCUGCCCACCACCUGCUCCCCACCCAUUUUCCAACACAGUUGCUGUAUUUCAUUCACUGAACAAUUCAUAAAGAUGAAUUAGAAGAAAUGAGAUGCAAAUAAAUUCUAUGCUUUCUCCCUCGU